ACGAUACGGCAGCGCCGAAGGAGCCUCGG
rnacentral:piRNA from 1 species